rnacentral:rRNA from 1 species
UACGUAGGGUGCGAGCGUUAAUCGGAAUUACUGGGCGUAAAGCGUGCGCAGGCGGUUUUGUAAGCCAGAUGUGAAAGCCCCGGGCUUAACCUGGGAAUGGCAUUUGGGACUGCAAGGCUUGAGUGCGGCAGAGGAGACUGGAAUUUCCGGUGUAGCAGUGAAAUGCGUAGAUAUCGGGAGGAAUACCGAUGGCGAAGGCAGGUCUCUGGGCUGACACUGACGCUCAUGCACGAAAGCGCGGGGAGCAAACAGG